GACGAACGCUGGCGGCGUGCCUAAUACAUGCAAGUAGAACGCUGAAGAGAGGAGCUUGCUCUUCUUGGAUGAGUUGCGAACGGGUGAGUAACGCGUAGGUAACCUGCCUUGUAGCGGGGGAUAACUAUUGGAAACGAUAGCUAAUACCGCAUAACAAUGGAUGACACAUGUCAUUUAUUUGAAAGGGGCAAUUGCUCCACUACAAGAUGGACCUGCGUUGUAUUAGCUAGUAGGUGAGGUAACGGCUCACCUAGGCGACGAUACAUAGCCGACCUGAGAGGGUGAUCGGCCACACUGGGACUGAGACACGGCCCAGACUCCUACGGGAGGCAGCAGUAGGGAAUCUUCGGCAAUGGGGGCAACCCUGACCGAGCAACGCCGCGUGAGUGAAGAAGGUUUUCGGAUCGUAAAGCUCUGUUGUAAGUCAAGAACGAGUGUGAGAGUGGAAAGUUCACACUGUAACGGUAGCUUACCAGAAAGGGACGGCUAACUACGUG
rnacentral:rRNA from 1 species